GGUUAAGCGACUAAGCGUACACGGUGGAUGCCCUGGCAGUCAGAGGCGAUGAAGGACGUGCUAAUCUGCGAAAAGCGCCGGCGAGGUGAUAUGAACCUUUGACCCGGCGAUGUCCGAAUGGGGAAACCCAGUGUGUUCCGACACACUAUCGUUAACUGAAUACAUAGGUUAACGAGGCGAACCGGGGGAACUGAAACAUCUAAGUACCCCGAGGAAAAGAAAUCAACCGAGAUUCCCCCAGUAGCGGCGAGCGAACGGGGAGCAGCCCAGAGUCUGAAUCAGCUUGUGUGUUAGUGGAACGGUCUGGAAAGUCCGGCGAUACAGGGUGAUAGCCCCGUACACGAAAGCACACUUGCUGUGAACUCGAAGAGUAGGGCGGGACACGUGGUAUCCUGUCUGAAUAUGGGGGGACCAUCCUCCAAGGCUAAAUACUCCUGACUGACCGAUAGUGAACCAGUACCGUGAGGGAAAGGCGAAAAGAACCCCGGCGAGGGGAGUGAAAAAGAACCUGAAACCGUGUACGUACAAGCAGUGGGAGCACCUUCGUGGUGUGACUGCGUACCUUUUGUAUAAUGGGUCAGCGACUUAUAUUCUGUAGCAAGGUUAACCGUAUAGGGGAGCCGAAGGGAAACCGAGUCUUAACUGGGCGUUAAGUUGCAGGGUAUAGACCCGAAACCCGGUGAUCUAGCCAUGGGCAGGUUGAAGGUUGGGUAACACUAACUGGAGGACCGAACCGACUAAUGUUGAAAAAUUAGCGGAUGACUUGUGGCUGGGGGUGAAAGGCCAAUCAAACCGGGAGAUAGCUGGUUCUCCCCGAAAGCUAUUUAGGUAGCGCCUCGUGAACUCAUCUUCGGGGGUAGAGCACUGUUUCGGCUAGGGGGCCAUCCCGGCUUACCAACCCGAUGCAAACUACGAAUACCGAAGAAUGUUAUCACGGGAGACACACGGCGGGUGCUAACGUCCGUCGUGAAGAGGGAAACAACCCAGACCGCCAGCUAAGGUCCCAAAGUCAUGGUUAAGUGGGAAACGAUGUGGGAAGGCACAGACAGCCAGGAUGUUGGCUUAGAAGCAGCCAUCAUUUAAAGAAAGCGUAAUAGCUCACUGGUCGAGUCGGCCUGCGCGGAAGAUGUAACGGGGCUAAACCAUGCACCGAAGCUGCGGCAGCGACACUAUGUGUUGUUGGGUAGGGGAGCGUUCUGUAAGCCGUUGAAGGUGGCCUGUGAGGGUUGCUGGAGGUAUCAGAAGUGCGAAUGCUGACAUAAGUAACGAUAAUGCGGGUGAAAAGCCCGCACGCCGGAAGACCAAGGGUUCCUGUCCAACGUUAAUCGGGGCAGGGUGAGUCGACCCCUAAGGCGAGGCCGAAAGGCGUAGUCGAUGGGAAACAGGUUAAUAUUCCUGUACUUGGUGUUACUGCGAAGGGGGGACGGAGAAGGCUAUGUUAGCCGGGCGACGGUUGUCCCGGUUUAAGCAUGUAGGCGGAGAGUUUAGGUAAAUCCGGACUCUUUUUAACGCUGAGGUGUGAUGACGAGGCACUACGGUGCUGAAGUAACAAAUGCCCUGCUUCCAGGAAAAGCCUCUAAGCAUCAGGUAACAUCAAAUCGUACCCCAAACCGACACAGGUGGUCAGGUAGAGAAUACCAAGGCGCUUGAGAGAACUCGGGUGAAGGAACUAGGCAAAAUGGUGCCGUAACUUCGGGAGAAGGCACGCUGAUAUGUAGGUGAAGCCCCUGCGGGUGGAGCUGAAAUCAGUCGAAGAUACCAGCUGGCUGCAACUGUUUAUUAAAAACACAGCACUGUGCAAACACGAAAGUGGACGUAUACGGUGUGACGCCUGCCCGGUGCCGGAAGGUUAAUUGAUGGGGUUAGCGGCAACGCGAAGCUCUUGAUCGAAGCCCCGGUAAACGGCGGCCGUAACUAUAACGGUCCUAAGGUAGCGAAAUUCCUUGUCGGGUAAGUUCCGACCUGCACGAAUGGCGUAAUGAUGGCCAGGCUGUCUCCACCCGAGACUCAGUGAAAUUGAACUCGCUGUGAAGAUGCAGUGUACCCGCGGCAAGACGGAAAGACCCCGUGAACCUUUACUAUAGCUUGACACUGAACACUGGUCCUUGAUGUGUAGGAUAGGUGGGAGGCUUUGAAGUGUGGACGCCAGUCUGCAUGGAGCCAUCCUUGAAAUACCACCCUUUAAUGGCUGGUGUUCUAACGUAGACCCGUAAUCCGGGUUGCGGACAGUGUCUGGUGGGUAGUUUGACUGGGGCGGUCUCCUCCCAAAGAGUAACGGAGGAGCACGAAGGUUAGCUAAUCCUGGUCGGACAUCAGGAGGUUAGUGCAAUGGCAUAAGCUAGCUUGACUGCGAGAGUGACGGCUCGAGCAGGUGCGAAAGCAGGUCAUAGUGAUCCGGUGGUUCUGAAUGGAAGGGCCAUCGCUCAACGGAUAAAAGGUACUCCGGGGAUAACAGGCUGAUACCGCCCAAGAGUUCAUAUCGACGGCGGUGUUUGGCACCUCGAUGUCGGCUCAUCACAUCCUGGGGCUGAAGUAGGUCCCAAGGGUACGGCUGUUCGCCGUUUAAAGUGGUACGCGAGCUGGGUUUAGAACGUCGUGAGACAGUUCGGUCCCUAUCUGCCGUGGGCGCUGGAGAAUUGAGGGGGGCUGCUCCUAGUACGAGAGGACCGGAGUGGACGCAUCACUGGUGUUCGGGUUGUCAUGCCAAUGGCAUUGCCCGGUAGCUAAAUGCGGAAAAGAUAAGUGCUGAAAGCAUCUAAGCACGAAACUUGCCCCGAGAUGAGUUCUCCCUGACCCUUUAAGGGUCCUGAAGGAACGUUGAAGACGACGACGUUGAUAGGUCGGGUGUGUAAGCGUAGCGAUACGUUGAGCUAACCGAUACUAAUGAACCGUGAGGCUUAACCUU
rnacentral:rRNA from 1 species